rnacentral:rRNA from 1 species
UACGGAGGAUCCAAGCGUUAUCCGGAUUUAUUGGGUUUAAAGGGUGCGUAGGCGGAUUGAUAAGUUAGAGGUGAAAUGUCCGAGCUCAACUCGGGAACUGCCUCUAAUACUGUUGAUCUAGAGAGUAGAUGCGGUAGGCGGAAUGUAUGGUGUAGCGGUGAAAUGCUUAGAGAUCAUACAGAACACCGAUUGCGAAGGCAGCUUACCAAUCUAUAUCUGACGUUGAGGCUCGAAAGCGUGGGGAGCAAACAGG